UUUUCUUUAAAUAAAUUACUUUUAUUAGAAAUAAGUGUACUGCUGUCCUAUAUAGUAUCUUGACAUGCACUACAAAAUUAUGUACACUUAAAGGAAAGGCUCUAUUCUUUAUUUUAGAAAUAUCUCCUUGUUUUAUUCUGAAACAAAACAAGAACUAACUGUUUUUGUUUGCCUGUUUGUUUUAUUUUUAUUUGAAUUACAGCUUUAGGAAGAUAGGUAUAUCUGUUUUCUUUCCUCCACUCCUUCCAAUAGUCAAUACGUACAGUAGUAAGCUGCCUUUAUUUCUACAUAAAUAGCUAGCCAUGGAAGCUGAGUAUAUAUCAUUGUCUUUAGGGAACAAAACAAACAAACAAAAAAGCACCAUAUUUCUUGUAUAUUUAUGAGGAGUUCAAGUAAACUAAGGUAAUACAACGUUGGAAGCUUCUAGGGAGAUAGCCAAUUGACGUCUCAACUACUGUUGGUUCUAUGCCCUUU